GUAUAGAUAAUGCAUGGAUGGAUGGACAUUCACGAGAAUAGACAGACAGAGGACGUGCUCAUCAGUGGUUAUCCGAGAGCCUGAGUCCUCAUCUGCCUGGAAAAUGAAGACGGGCAAGCCCUUGCUUCACAUUUAGGCUGCUGUGGUCACCGGGCAGUACCCCUGUCCACUAAGCCAUCUGCUUCUGGAAUCGAAGUCUGACAGAGUAUCAGGGGCAGUUAGCCCACUGAGCGCUGGCUCUUUGUCAGUCAGGAAGUGGAGAGACGGGGUUGUGGGAGUGACAACGUGUGCAUUGUAGGACAUCACUGUGAGGCAGCCCAGAGGAAGCACUGCCAUACCACGACUCAUAGUCUA